UGAGGAAUAUUGGUCAAUGGGCGGGAGCCUGAACCAGCCAAGCCGCGUGGAGGAAGAAGGCCCUCGGGUUGUAAACUUCUUUUAUUCGGGACGAAGAAGUGACGGUACCGAAUGAAUAAGCCACGGCUAACUACGUGCUAGCAGCCGCGGUAAUACGUAGGUGGCAAGCGUUAUCCGGAUUUACUGGGUGUAAAGGGCGUGUAGGCGGGACUGCAAGUCAGAUGUGAAAACCAUGGGCUCAACCCAUGGCCUGCAUUUGAAACUGUAGUUCUUGAGUGAUGGAGAGGCAGGCGGAAUUCCGUGUGUAGCGGUGAAAUGCGUAGAUAUACGGAGGAACACCAGUGGCGAAGGCGGCCUGCUGGACAUUAACUGACGCUGAGGCGCGAAAGCGUGGGGAGCAAACAGGAUUAGAUACC
rnacentral:rRNA from 1 species